rnacentral:rRNA from 1 species
AAUUAGUGGCAGACGGGUGAGUAAUGCAUAGGAAUCUACCUAGUAGUAUAGGAUAGCCACUAGAAGUGGUGGGUAAUACUGUAUAUUCCCUGCGGGGGAAAGAUUUAUCGCUACAUGAUGAGCCUAUGUUAGAUUAGCUAGUUGGUGGGGUAAUGGCCUACCAAGGCAGUGAUCUAUAGCUGGUCUGAGAGGAUGAUCAGCCACACUGGAACUGAGACACGGUCCAGACUCCUACGGGAGGCAGCAGUGGGGAAUAUUGGACAAUGGGCGCAAGCCUGAUCCAGCUAUGCCGCGUGAGUGAGGAAGGCCUUAGGGUUGUAAAACUCUUUCAGUGGGGAAGAUAAUGACGGUACCCACAGAAGAAGUCCCGGCAAACUCCGUGCCAGCAGCCGCGGUAAUACGGAGGGGGCAAGCGUUGUUCGGAAUUAUUGGGCGUAAAGGGCAUGUAGGUGGUUUGGUAAGUUAAAGGUGAAAUGCCAGGGCUUAACCCUGGAGCUGCUUUUAAUACUGC